UGUGGUGUGUGAAAAUAGAAAUAAGAGAAAUGGUUUUCAAGUGACUUGUUCUGUUUUGCCAGAGAGAGUCUAUAAUUAAUUAAAAACUCGUGAAUGUGAGAGGCAUAAUAAGCAUAGCAUUGAUUGCAAUUUGCAAUGGAACCGCCACUUUGCUUCCCCUCUUCGGAGCUUUCAUUGCUGACUCUUACCUUGGCCGCUACUGAACCAUAAUUAUAGCCUCCUCCAUCUAUAUUUUCGGACUAGGGUUGUUGACAUUGUCAGCUAUGCUUCCAUUAUCUCUGACAAAUGGGUUGCAAUUGCAAGUAAUGUUGUUCUUUGUCUCACUUUAUCUGAUGGCCAUAGGACAAGGAGGGCAUAAGCCCUGUGUUCAGGCUUUCGGAGCCGAUCAAUUCGAUCAACAGCAUCCAAAGGAGAACAAAGAUAGAAAAGCUCUUUCUUUAUUUGGUGGUAUUUUACCAUGUGUGCAGCAAGUAUGACAAGUCUUUGGAUCUUGAACUAUAUACAGGACAACAUCAGUUGGGUUCUAGGAUUUGGAAUCCCUUGUGUUGCCAUGAUCAUUGCAUUGCUUAUCUUCAUGCUCGGAUCCACCACCUACAGGUUUAACAUCCAGGGAAGUCCUGACAAGAGCCAUUUUCUCCGAAUUGGUCGUGUAUUCAUUGCAGCUAUAAGAAAUCGCUCGAGUAGCCUAGAGCAAAGUUCUGGACAAUUCAAUCAGCGCAAUUGUUGAGGCAUUACAAUGCUGCAAUUGUUGAGGCAAAGAUUGAAGACAGCGCAAGAGUAUGGUCUAGUUGAUAAACCAAAUGCAACCAUUCCAAUGAGUGUGUGGUGGUUGGUUCCCCAAUAUUUAUUUUUCGGAAUUUCGAAUGUUUUUACUAUGGUUGGUCUCCAGGAAUUAUUCUAUGAUUAAGUCCCGAAUGAGCUCAGAAGCAUGGGUCUUGCUCUCUAUCAUAGUGGUGGGGAGCUUUCAGCUUUCUAAUUUCAGUGAUACUUUUACUGGCUACUUGCUGGACUCAGUGUCAUGGGAUUGGAUCUUACAUUUAUAAGCUUUAGGACUCUCAUUCAUAUAUAUACUGUUAAAUUCUUUUAGACACUUGUAUAAGAUAAACUUCAAUAAAUUUGUAUCGAAUAGUAGAAUAAUUAAACAAGUUUUUUAAGACACAACCUUUUUGAGAAAACAAAUUUUGAGAAAACAGAUUUUUAUUUAAGAUCCAUGAUCCGACCUUUAUGAC